CCAGACUGGGGUUAAGGACCCAAAGUGCUGGCUAAGUGAUAAAUCAAAGGGCGUCGUAAUCCUAAAACAGCGGGGAGGUAGGCUUAGAGGCAGCCAACCUUUAAAGAAAGCGUAACAGCUCACCCGCCGAGGAUUGGGGCCCCGAAGAUGGACGGGUCUAAAGCCAGCCUCCGAUACCCCAGAGGUGCAUUUCAUAAUGCACUCCAGUAGGAGGGCGUCCCGAUUGGGCCGAAGCAGGGCCGUGAGGUCCUGUGGACCGGUCGGGAUUGCAGAUCCCGGCGGUAGUAGCAGCAGAGUCGGGUGAGAAUCCCGAUCGCCGAAAGGGCAAGGGUUUCCAGGCAAUGCGUCGUCAGCCUGGAGUUAGUCGGUCCUAAGGCCNNNNNNNNNNGCCGAAAGGGGAACUGGUUAAUAUUCCAGUACUGUGGAGGUACACGUGGCAACACAAAGCCUCACACGUGACGCUUCGGGGUAGGUCGAACAGGGUUGUCGCCCUGUUUAACUGUCAAAGCCUGGGGAGUACCGUAAUGGUGAGAACCAGGCGAAACCAGGAAUAGCCCCCCGUUUAGGGGGGUUCGAUCGAUCCCUGGAGCCCAUGAAAAGCGUGUGAGGAUGGAUCCUCCGCAUCCGUACCCAGAACCAACACAGGUGC
rnacentral:rRNA from 1 species